UGCAUCUCCAAGUUUACCGGGCUCAUUUAGUUCCUCCUCACCCUUUAAUGAAGGUGAGCCUGAGGUGCAGAGUAUCAGUGCCUGGCUCACAGACAGCCACCUCCUUCCUGGGGCAACAGGGUCGGGUUGACAAAUUCUGUUCACAAAUCAAGCGUGGAAUUAUUAUCUAGAGCAAGUAGUUGGAUGAUGAUUUGUUAUGUCUUGAGAACCUACCAUACCACGAACACUUUCUGGUUGUCACAGUGAUCAGCAGCCAGGAGCAGCCUGCAAUGUGAAGACAGUCCUGUGGGACAGUCCUAGGCUACAGGGAACUGUCCUGCAUCCUGCAUGUCUUAUAAACAUCCUACUGGACGUCGAUG
rnacentral:lncRNA from 1 species